GUUGCCAGAAGAGGUAAACUAUAUUGUAGCUUAUGUUAAUAGAAUUUAUUAAAGAAUAUCUUAAUAUUUAUAUGAUUCAAAAUCAAAAUGCAUAAAUAUCAUUAUUUAUUUCUGUUUGUCUACAAGUUCUUUGAUUAGUUUCCACAUUUUGUGAUCAAGAUGUGUUGAUGUUUCCUUAUGGCAUACACUCAUUGCACCAAAAUUAUUUUUGUUUGUUUCUAUUGGUGCUACAAAGUUGUUGAAUUUGUUUGGUUUCUUACCUCCAAUGUUCUCUUGCCUUACUUUAUCAAUUCUUAAGCUGAGGAGAUAGUGACAUAUGAGUUUACCACCCAUUUAAUUAGUGAGAGCUGGAUCUGAUAGGUUACUGGGGUUGAA
rnacentral:misc_RNA from 1 species